CGAGGGAGCAGCUUGAAGGCUGUCUGAAGCCCCUCUCCGGGGCCGGGGAGCCGAAGCCCAGGGAGUCCCCGGCUACCGAGCUGCCCCCGAAGUGUCCUCCGGUAUUGGUGGCGCCGCUGCUUCCCCCUCCACGGACGCUCCGUUUCCUCUCUGCUUUGUGGGAACGGGAAGCAGCAGCAUUGUGUUGGAGCGGACUGGGUUUAAUCAUUAAUGCGCACUAACAGUCGGGACAGGACAGGCAUGGCCUACAGCCUGGGACACACACAGGACGGUGGGCUGCAGGGAGAAGCGCUAACCAGGGGGAAGGACUCGGGACCGGAAACGGAGACUGGGAACUGUUUGCUGAACGAAAACUGGGAGUCUAUGUGUGUUGGAAGCAGCAGUUCAGCCUAUGUGUCUGUGAGAGACAGAAGGAGAGACACGUAAAGGGAUAACAGAAGGACAUAUGCCCACCUGAAAGGGAGACAGUGGCGUCUUCUGUUACUUAACUGUCACCGUGUUGUGACUGUCUGUUUGAAGUUAGUUUUGCAUUUUUUAGCUUAGCCAGACAUAAACCCUGCAUGCCUUAGGCAGAUAUUGAAAAAGCUAGGCGACAUGUGUGCUGCAGUUCUUUUACACUGUUUACACUCCUGCUCAAAACAUUUAGGCCUAACAUACACUGUGCCGAAUGUUUCCCAGAAAGGCACUAGGUUUAAGGACUUUCAUCACGCAGUUGCGACCAUCAUGAAUAGCCUACAGGACUCAAAUGUAGCACUAAAAAAUAAUAAUUAUUUAUAAAAUAAUUAACAUUUCGCAGCGAAAUAGGAGAAUUACAACAAUCAUCUGUUUUACUUUUAAUAGUCUGUUACCAAAAACACCAAGAUAAUAGGCCUACUGUUAGGCAAGCCUAGCCUACUAUAGGCUACUACUACUACCAAUAAUAAUACUUUUAUUAUUAUUAUUAUUAUUAUUAUUAUUAUUAUUAUUAUUUGAAGAACAAGAACAAGAACAAGAAAUAGAAACAGUGUCAGUCGGCAAAAAUAUGGGCCUUACUGAAAAAGAAUGAUAUUCUGGGAUGUGCCUCCCAUUUUCGAAAAUAAUAGCAACCUUCGUUGUGUUUAAGAGUUUGCAUUGCGACAGGAAGAUAAUUACACUACAAACAGUAGGUUUUUCAUAAAGGAUAUGCGUUUUAAGCCUGCUAUAUUCCUGCUCAGGAAACCAGGCUGGUGUGGCUGUGAUUGAGCUGCAGUGUAAACAGUUAAGAGCUGCUCAAGGAACUCCAGGAAUCUGAGAAACUUCAGAGAUUAUCGACAAUUGAGGUUGAAGGAGCCAGACUGCUGCUUUAUAGCUUUAUGGCUCUUUUUCACCUCGUACGCGCGCGCGUUUUCUGUGUGUGUGUGUGUGAGAGAGAGAGAGAGAGAGAGAGAGAGAGACCUCUGGACUUUUAUGGCUUCUUGACCGUUUAUGACUCCUUGUAAAGUCCGAGGAAUGGCGACGAACUGAAAAACAGGCCCGCAGCAAACAGCAGAUGAACAAAUGUGCUGUGCUGCACACACACACACAAGAGACACACACACCAACACACUGACACUGUACAGUUCAUCUGCGGUUCAUUUCAGCCCCGGCACUGCUCUAAUCGCCUGCUUUUCACUCAGUAGCUGUUAUUAACAAGCACUGUGAAUAAUUAUCUGUCCGUGAAAUUAAACCUUCGCUAUUUAUUUCAUUGACAUAGGCCUACAAUUUUUUACCAGAGUUUUUUUAUAUGCAUUUACCGGCUGACAGAGGAGGUACGAAGAAGAUUACAGUUAUAAUUUAAAAAACACCAUUUUUUUUUAAAUUAAAAACGAAUAUUUCCUACAUAAAACAUGUUCUUUGACGCCAUCAAUGUAUUUUUUUUUUUUUUUUAUAUUAGGAAAUCGUUCACAAGCAUUUCACAACUCCACAGUAGUCUAGCUUACCUAAACGAAAUGUAAAUUCAGAAAUGUUCUUUUCUCCGGGUGAUGGGAGAGAAAUAUGUUGUAUGUAAAAUAGGCUAAUAGGUGGUUUUCGUCCCAAAGUUAAAUAACUGUUAGAAUCGGUUGUGACUUGUUUAAAUUAGCAAGUAGAUCAUCAAAAGCGGGACUUCACCUAAAGCCACCCUGUUUUCUUUCCACAUAGCCUAAUGCUCAUGCUUUUAGAGAGGGAAGGCUAGAUACACCGGUAGGGAGGUGUGUGUGUGUGUGUGUGUGUGUGUGUUUUCUGUGUGUUGACCGGACUCUCCUGCGCGAGUUAAUGACAAACUGAAAGAAACUGCCUCACUAGUGCUUUUUGGCUUUAAUGUAUUAAUCGUUUCCAGGCAGCGCAAGCCGGCUGCCGCGUCCUUCACGGCACCAUGAGCUCGUGCUCCGGGUGAGUUCACCGGAUUGUUACCGAUGGGCGCGAGCCCUCGGCCGCAUAAGUGCCCCAGGACGAGUUAAAGAUUAACGUACAGAUGAAUGCAGCAUCACGGGGAGGGCCGCUUGUUUUUCACCAAGUCCCUGCUAAAUGAGGAAGAAGCGGACACGCGCACACGCAGGUGCCCGAUAUACCUAAUAUACCUACAUUAUCAGAAUUACUUAAUUUCAUUUAAUUAAUCAUGUGUUGCAAUAAAAUUAUAUAAAAUGUAAAACAAAAAAUAAUAACAUUUGAGAUGUUUUAUAGAUUAUUUUGUGGCAUUAACAUCAGCGCUAUUAGAACUAUUAAUUAGUUUGUGAACAUUAUUUAUAACAAUAAUUAUAAUAUGAAGGCUUAAUAUAUUGCACACUCUGUAACAAUAGGCUAAAACUAGUAUCACAGUUUUAAUGUUGUUAAUACCAAGAAUGUAGUUCCUAAAAAUUAAGUUUCACUUAUUACCUCUGAGCCUGCAGUGUGUUUCUAGUUUACCAUUAGCCUAAUAAAACCCAAGUAGAACUGUUCUUUCUAUGAAUUUGUUGGUGCAUUUAAAUCGUUUAUAUGCAGCUAAAUAUUAAUGUGUUCUCCCCUCUGAUGCUACCGCCCUGAUAAUCACAAUACCGCCACACAGAAAAUGUCCACCAGAAAACAAACAGACGAGAGGGGAAAUACUGAUUUUCCAUCUGAUCUGAAUGCCGGAUUAAAGUCAGAAGAUGCUGGGGUCAUAAAUUAAAUUCAACGCUGUGGAUAACUGCACCCCCCCCCCCCCCCCCCCCCGCCUUCCCUCCGCAAGGGUCUUACAAAUUAUCACACACAUACAUACAAACACACACACACACACACACACACACACACACAGGUAUGCAUAUAUUUGGGGGGGUUGCACAGCAGAUCUGCAGAUGAGCUAGCCAGUAAAGAUGAUGAAAUCUCAGAGCAAGGACGAGUUAAUAUGUUCACACACACACACACACACCUACGAAGCACACAAUGGAGCCGCAGGUUGCUUCUGUUUAUCGAAACAGCGACUCUGACCAAUCAGCGCACAUUUUACAUCCUGAUCUUCUGUUUCCUUGGGCACAACGCGCGUGCACACAAACACAGAACCCAUUAGUGUGUUCUCGUGCGCGCACGGAUUCUCCACGCCUCAUUCACCACAGUGUAACAGCAACAAGGCCUAACCUGGGAGGGGGGGCUGCUCUCUCUCUCCACUCCAUAUCCCAGAUCUGUCUCUCUCUGCGUUGACAUCAACUAAAGAAAGAAAGACAGAGAGAAAGAAAGACAGAACUAGCAAGCCAAAAAACAAAGUGCAGGCCUACGUCACACACAUACGUUCACGUGCACACACAUACACAUCCCGUCGUGUCUGUUUUGGUUUCAUUCCAAAGUUAACUCAAAAGCAAAGGCCCAUCAUCGCUUUGUCAAAAACUAACCCAAUACCGACACACACAUACACACACACACACACACACGCUGCCAACAGCACAUCACACCUUGAAACCAUGAUAGAGACAUUUAGCUUUGACGCCAGGACGCAUAGCGUGCGUGUACCCGUUGACGAGAGGGUAUUAUCCUGAGAAUGAAGCGUGCGUGUUGGGGACUGUUUGGUGCGGUACUGAUGCCAACACGACGCUAGAUGGCACCAGAGCGUUUUGGAGGAGCGUGUUGGGGCUGCUGGGCGACUCACCGGUGAGCACUGCCGCCGAACAGGAGCGUGGUCCUGGAUGAGUGUCAGUGUGACCAUCGCUCCUAUUGCUUCUGCAGCUGCACAGUCUCUUCAUGAAUGUACAUGCAUGUAUAUGAAAAAUAUAUAUUUAUUCAAAUAAAAGUUUAUAUAAAUACACUUAGAAACUUGACUUGAGCCCCGUGACUGUUGAUGCACACACACACACACACUGCACUAAUUCCGCUGCUGCUACAAAUAAUAGCCUAGAAACAAAUGCUGUUAGAACCAGCCAAUAGGAAGACUAGCCUGCAAUUAUUAAUUAUGAAGAAUAUGAACUGUCACGUAAUCAUUCUUUUUAUUAUUAACAAUAUCUGCUGGUACGUCAAACAGGAACAACAGUAAAUAACUGAAUUGCAAAGAUUCAACGGUCAAUAGUGAUUCUCUCAUCGUUGGAUAAGAUUAUUGAGGUAGACUAGGCUUACUACGUAGAUCUUCUGAAACGUUCAUAUUCAUAAAUUGAUUAUUUCUAUUUCAUAAAAUAGGUAUAGCUAUAAUUAGGCCGAUACUGAAAACGUUAUGUUUCUCUGUCUAACUAGCCCCCUUCUCUCUCACACACACACGGGAUGGGUUUUAAAUAUGAGCCAAUUCAAUAGAGAAAUGUUUGCGCUGAAGGAAGGGACUGCUUUAUGAACACAGCCUAGUUCUACCAUAAAGUGCAUAAUACAACUACUACUGAUUGCUUAAUCCUUUAACCACGGUUGCUAACAGGCAGAUGUUAAAAGUGAUUAUUUUAUGAUCGUUAUCGGGAGUUUUGCAGAGGAAUCUAAUGGUGAUGUUCACGUCUGGUGACAGGGCUGCGGCAUGCAUAUGCGACUAAUCCGAAAUAAAACCUAAGAAGAAU